rnacentral:rRNA from 1 species
UACGUAGGGUGCGAGCGUUGUCCGGAAUUAUUGGGCGUAAAGAGCGUGUAGGCGGCUUCACAGGUCCGCUGUGAAAACUCGAGGCUCAACCUCGAGCUGUCGGUGGGAACCGUGUGGCUAGAGUCCGGAAGAGGAGAGUGGAAUUCCCGGUGUAGCGGUGAAAUGCGCAGAUAUCGGGAAGAACACCCGUGGCGAAGGCGGCUCUCUGGGACGGUACUGACGCUGAGACGCGAAAGCGUGGGGAGCAAACAGG